AGUGAACGCUGACGGUAGGCCUAACACAUGCAAGUCGAACGGCAGCACAGAGGAGCUUGCUCCUUGGGUGGCGAGUGGCGGACGGGUGAGGAAUACAUCGGAAUCUACUCUGUCGUGGGGGAUAACGUAGGGAAACUUACGCUAAUACCGCAUACGACCUACGGGUGAAAGCAGGGGACCUUCGGGCCUUGCGCGAUUGAAUGAGCCGAUGUCGGGUUAGCUAGUUGGCGGGGUAAAGGCCCACCAAGGCGACGAUCCGUAGCUGGUCUGAGGGGAGGAGCAGCCACACUGGAACUGGGACACGGUCCAGACUCCUACGGGAGGCAGCAGUGGGGAAUAUUGGACAAUGGGCGCAAGCCUGAUCCAGCCAUACCGCGUGGGUGAAGAAGGCCUUCGGGUUGUAAAGCCCUUUUGUUGGGAAAGAAAUCCAGCUGGCUAAUACCCGGUUGGGAUGACGGUACCCAAAGAAUAAGCACCGGCUAACUUCGUGCCAGCCGCCGCAGUAA
rnacentral:rRNA from 1 species